AUUUGAUGAAGCUUUUUAUCGGUAUUCACUCUCUCUCUUCAAUUAUAACCUACCAAAUCUAUUCCAUAGAAAUCACUCUUCCAUCUUCUCCAUUCACAGACUGCGGACGAACUAGGGUUCGAUUGUAGGUUCUGAUUUCACCGACGGCGGCUUAAUGGCGAGGACAAAGAAUGCAACGGCGAAAGCGUCGAUCUCAGGGUUUUUCAGAGACGUAAUGGCGAAGACGAAGGGUGGUUCCGGAGGUUCGUAGCAGUGGGUUACUUGUUGUUUAUAGUUAUUUAAGAUUCGUAAUAGGGUUUUUAUUGUGGAACCCAUCUUCAAUCUCUAAAAAUCUCUUAAGGUUCUUCGAUUUUUGUCAAUAAUUAGUUGAUUAGUUGUGGACUUAGUUAGAUUUUUGAAAGUUCACAAUGUCUUUAAACGAUUGUAAAUUUCUUGAAUUGUUAUGAAAAAUUCGAUUCCCUAUGUGAAGAAUCUGUUAGAUCUUUGUGGGGUUUUUGUGUAUACAUUUGAUUUUUUUAAUGCUUUACAAGAAUCUCUUACGAAUUUUUAAGUUUGUACUACGAAUGACAUGGUGAUGCAUAGUUAUGAGAAUGUCAAACAGUAGAUUACAAAUUUUUAAGUUUGUGGUUACGAAUCUGGUUCAUGGUGCAUGGAAUUAAUUUGUUAUAUGAAUCUGAAAUAGUUUUUGUUUCUAAUAUUACGAAUUUUUAAGUUUGUGAUUACGAAUUUUUGGCUGACAAUUGUGUGGAGGUAGAUGUGUAUUGGUUUGAUUGAACGAGUUAGAUGUGUUUUUUGGUUGACAAUUGUGAGGAGCUAUAUGUGUUUUUUGGCUGACAUUUUGUGACUGUGAGUGUUUAUUAUGCAUUUUCCUAUAUUUUCAUGUCAAAUUGUCAAAAAUAUGAAGUGCGGUGUGGUUACGAAUCUGAUACAUUGUCCUAUGAAUUAAUUUGUCAUAUUUAAUAUGAAUUUUUAUUGUAGGUUUCUAAUCUUACAAAUUUUUAAGUUUGUAUUUGUAUGAUCAAUUUUUAUAAUUGAGUGCAAGUUUCUGGUAUUACGAAUUAUUAGCAAGUUUGCUCUAUAAUUAAAUCAUGAGUGGAUUUUCAAAAUAAUCACUUUUAUAUAGUAAAAAUAAAUUUUACCCACUCAAAUAAAAACAUAAAAAAUACCCACUUUUUGUGUUAAAGGACUAAAUUACCCUUCUAUAUAAAUGGGCAAACCCUAAUUUCCUCUCAUUCUCUCAUUUCUCUCUCUCUACCCGCUCUCUCCUCUCUCUCUCUAUACACGCCCUCUCUCUUCUCUCACAGCCCUAGAGGCGCCGCCCGUGGGCGAAAUCGUGCCUUGGGAAGUGGCUGUCGCCGCUGUUACUUCGACGUUUUCAAGGCGGCGAUCGUGGUUCGAUCCACGAUAAGGCGACGUUGACACCUUCUACCAGCGUGAGUCGCGUCGGUUGGUGGUCAAGGAAGAGGUCGCGGAAGUCGAGGAUCCGCAGGGAGAGGAUGAUGGCUGCCAAUUUCGCGUCUCGCGCGGCGGCGGUUCGUCCGGCGCUGGAGCAUCUGAUUCUGCUGAGGAGGAGUCAAUCGGCGCCGCUAUACGGCCGGAUUGCUCAGCUGGAGGGAAGAGACGCGAAAUCGGAUUUGCUGAAAGGCGAUUUGUUUCCCCGUCGCAGACGCCGCGUUCGAGUGAUAAGGCUGGGAUAGAUCUGCGAUCCAGUGAGGGGAGUUUCAAUGGGAGGCAAGACAAGGAGAAAGGUGUUAAUGUGCAGGUCAUUGUUCGAUGCAGAGACCUCCGUGCUGCUGGUAUGCUCGAAUGGCUUGUACAUGUACGCUCAAUGUAU